rnacentral:rRNA from 1 species
AAAGGGCGCGUAGGCGGCUCUGUUUGUCAGGCGUGAAAGUCCUGGGCUCAACCUGGGGACGGCGCUUGGGACGGCGGGGCUUGAGUGGGGAAGAGGGUCGUGGAAUUCCCAGUGUAGAGGUGAAAUUCGUAGAUAUUGGGAAGAACACCGGUGGCGAAGGCGGCGACCUGGUCCUUGACUGACGCUGAGGCGCGAGAGCGUGGGGAGCAAACAGGAUUAGAUACCCUAGU